GAAAGAACUACAUGAUCUAAGUCACGUACGACGGUUUCAAUUUCUUCUUUGGCACUAGUACGAAAGAAAAAAAUCGAACUAAUGAAAAAUCCUGAUAAAGAGAAAGCCAUGUGAGAAAUAUUACAUUGAAAACUUACCGUAAAAGAAAAU